rnacentral:rRNA from 1 species
GGCUCAGAUUGAACGCUGGCGGCAGGCCUAACACAUGCAAGUCGAGCGCGAAAGGCCUUCGGGCUGAGUAGAGCGGCGGACGGGUGAGUAACGCGUAGGAAUCUACCUGGUAGUGGGGGACAACUUGGGGAAACUCAAGCUAAUACCGCAUACGCCCUAUGGGGGAAAGUGGGGGACCUUCGGGCCUCACGCUAUCAGAUGAGCCUGCGUAGGAUUAGCUAGUUGGUGAGGUAAAGGCUCACCAAGGCGACGAUCCUUAGCUGGUCUGAGAGGAUGAUCAGCCACACUGGGACUGAGACACGGCCCAGACUCCUACGGGAGGCAGCAGUGGGGAAUAUUGCGCAAUGGGGGCAACCCUGACGCAGCCAUGCCGCGUGUGUGAAGAAGGCCUUCGGGUUGUAAAGCACUUUCACUUGGGAAGAAAAGCUCAUCGUUAAUAGCGGUGAGCCCUGACAUUACCUUGAGAAGAAGCACCGGCUAACUCCGUG